rnacentral:rRNA from 1 species
UACGAAGGGGGCUAGCGUUGUUCGGAAUUACUGGGCGUAAAGCGUGCGCAGGCGGUUGUGUAAGUCAGAUGUGAAAUCCCCGGGCUCAACCUAGGAAUGGCAUUUGAGACUGCACAGCUAGAGUGUGUCAGAGGGGGGUAGAAUUCCACGUGUAGCAGUGAAAUGCGUAGAGAUGUGGAGGAAUACCGAUGGCGAAGGCAGCCCCCUGGGAUAACACUGACGCUCAUGCACGAAAGCGUGGGGAGCAAACAGG